UACGUAGGGUGCGAGCGUUAAUCGGAAUUACUGGGCGUAAAGCGUGCGCAGGCGGUUUUGUAAGCCAGAUGUGAAAUCCCCGGGCUUAACCUGGGAAUGGCAUUUGGGACUGCAAGGCUUGAGUGCGGCAGAGGAGACUGGAAUUCCUGGUGUAGCAGUGAAAUGCGUAGAUAUCAGGAGGAAUACCGAUGGCGAAGGCAGGUCUCUGGGCUGACACUGACGCUCAUGCACGAAAGCG
rnacentral:rRNA from 1 species